GACGAACCGUGCUAACGUUGUUCGGAAUUACUGGGCGUAAAGGGCUCGUAGGCGGCCAACUAAGUCAGACGUGAAAUCCCUCGGCUUAACCGGGGAACUGCGUCUGAUACUGGAUGGCUUGAGUUUGGGAGAGGGAUGCGGAAUUCCAGGUGUAGCGGUGAAAUGCGUAGAUAUCUGGAGGAACACCGGUGGCGAAGGCGGCAUCCUGGACCAACACUGACGCUGAGUGAGCGAAAGCCAGGGGAGCAAACGGG
rnacentral:rRNA from 1 species